rnacentral:rRNA from 1 species
CCAGCGGCGAACGGGUGAGUAACACGUGGGCAACCUGCCCUCAGCUCUGGGAUAAGCCGGGGAAACUCGGUCUAAUACCGGAUAUGACAUUCUCCCGCAUGGGGGGGUGUGGAAAGAUUUAUCGGCUGGGGAUGGGCCCGCGGCCUAUCAGCUUGUUGGUGGGGUGAUGGCCUACCAAGGCGACGACGGGUAGCCGGCCUGAGAGGGCGAUCGGCCACACUGGGACUGAGACACGGCCCAGACUCCUACGGGAGGCAGCAGUGGGGAAUAUUGCGCAAUGGGCGGAAGCCUGACGCAGCGACGCCGCGUGGGGGAUGACGGCCUUCGGGUUGUAAACCUCUUUCAGCUCCGACGGAGCGCAAGUGACGGUAGGGGCAGAAGAAGCACCGGCCAACUACGUGCCAGCAGCCGCGGUAAUACGUAGGGUGCAAGCGUUGUCCGGAAUUAUUGGGCGUAAAGAGCUCGUAGGCGG